CGUCUCUCGGCGCUCUCGUCGGUCUCAUUGCUGCACUUGGUUAGGUGAGUGUCUCUGUAGGUUUCGUAGGUCUUAAGUGUUUGGUGUUUUUGUACGUUAUGCGAAUACAGCAUAGCACGCGCAAUACCUUCUGUGUUGUAGCUGUCUGGCCAGGAUGACGGGCCGUUGAGGUCUUGGGCUUGGCCUCGAGGCUUCAAAGCAGCAUCGGGCCUUUAUGAAGGACAAAAUGGCGUUGGCGGGCGGUGCAGGUGGCCCUCUCUAUGAUGAGGAACAUUUCACAGACCUGUACUGAGCUCCGUGAGGAUAAGUUAACUCUGAGGAGACGGGCCCUGCAAACCUCCUACUUAGCCGUCGCUUCUGAAAAUAGCGUUUUGGAAAUAACCCUGUGCUGACAUAAUGUCGUCUUGGGCUCUCGUUUGCAGGGUUUACGCGCACGUUUGAGUCGAAAAGAAAUCUAUCGUUACAAUGUUCAGCCCACAAGAGCUUACUGGUGAAGAAACGGGACAAGACCCAUCUUUCGGCAAAGCCAACGUUACAGUAAUGCUCCAGCAUCUCACAGUCUAUCCUGAGGAAUUCAGAUGCCUCCCAGGGUGAAUACAGGUAGUCCUGCUGAUAGUCUGCUUCUAUCUUACAGUAAGUUGCUUUUCGAAUUGUGUGAGUCUAUUAUCCAACUUGGCCAUCUUGAUACUUGUUUCCAAAGGCUGCUUAACCCAUAAAGUUUGCUGGCUUCUCUUGUUCUCUGUAGUGAUCUUUCAAAGCCUCCCCUUUUUUCUCUCAGAUACCCACUACCCAGGAUCAGACAAAUGCUUUUCAGUUGUAGCUUUCUCCAGGGUUCAGCCUUACCCCCGCGCCCCCCCACCCCACGUUAAAGCUUGGGAACAAAUUGUGAACCCACCAGUGUUGACUGGAAGAGAGCAUGAAAGCUUGUUCCAUAAGGAACUGUCUGGGGCAUUUGGUUACCUUUUCUUAGCUUGUCCCUAG
rnacentral:lncRNA from 1 species